rnacentral:rRNA from 1 species
GGAAUCUUCCACAAUGGGCGAAAGCCUGAUGGAGCAAUGCCGCGUGAGUGAUGAAGGUUUUCGGAUCGUAAAGCUCUGUUGCCAGGGAAGAACGUCCGGGUGAGUAACUGCACCCGGAGUGACGGUACCUGAGAAGAAAGCCCCGGCUAACUACGUGCCAGCAGCCGCGGUAAUACGUAGGGGGCAAGCGUUGUCCGGAAUUAUUGGGCGUAAAGCGCGUGCAGGCGGCGGGUUAAGUCGGAUGUUUAAGAUCGGGGCUCAACCCCGAUUCGCAUCCGAAACUGGCCCGCUUGAGUGUAGGAGAGGAAAGUGGAAUUCCACGUGUAGCGGUGAAAUGCGUAGAGAUGUGGAGGAACACCAGUGGCGAAGGCGACUUUCUGGCCUAUAACUGACGCUGAGGCGCGAAAGCGUGGGGAGCAAACAGGAUUAGAUACCCUUG